CACAUAGUGACAACUUCCUAUGCACAGUGAGUUAUUGCACAAAGAGGGUGAGAGUGGAAAAAAAGUACACAGUAUUUUGCAUUCCUAUCACAUUGAUGCUGCUGUAGUCAGAGAACGGAAUGAGCAUAGGCUCUAAACAGUGUCUUACUGAGCUAGUUGGCAAGAAGCUGUCAGAAGACAAAGCAGCAACAGCAGAGAUGUGGGCAUCACUGGACAUGCUUAAUUGCCCUUGAGAAGGUGGUGGCGAGCUGCCUUCUUGAACCAUUGCAGUCCACUUGACCAAUGCCAUUAAAAGGGGAGUUUCAGGAUUUUGAACAAGCAGCACUGAAGGAACGGUGAUACAGUUCCAAAUCAAGAUGACACUUCUUUCAACAAAAUUUUGAACGGAGCAAGAGGAGUACCUUUCUGCUGCUUCCUAGUUGCCACCGUCAGUAAUCCUUAAGGAUCCCAACGACAUAUCAAGCAAUGAAAAACUGGUGCCAGUUGGCAGACUGAAUGA